UACGGAGGGUGCAAGCGUUGUCCGGAAUCACUGGGCGUAAAGGGCGCGUAGGCGGGAUGGCAAGUCGGUCGUGAAAUCUCUCGGCUCAACCGAGAAACGUCGGCCGAUACUGCCGUUCUUGAGGGAUGCAGAGGAGACUGGAAUUCCCGGUGUAGCGGUGAAAUGUGUAGAGAUCGGGAGGAACACCGGUGGCGAAGGCGGGUCUCUGGGCAUUUCCUGACGCUGAGGCGCGAAAGCGUGGGGAGCAAACGGG
rnacentral:rRNA from 1 species